CAUCGCAAAACUUGGUUGGCCACGCGUAUUCUUGGGUUACUAACACACUGUUUAUGUUGUUAUUGCUUGAGAAUACACGUAGUUGACUAGUGUUGUACAUCGA
rnacentral:pre_miRNA from 5 species